UCAGCCACAAACUCCAUGGAUUUCUCCCCCUUAUUACCAAACCCCCUACCACUUCUCCAUCUUCUUCUUCCUCAUCCUCCUCUGCUCUGUUUCUCUCUCAAUUUUCUCUCCUACCAAACCGCCGCAAAAAUUCAACCAGAAUGAAAAACAGCAAGCAGAACGAACUGUGUGAUUUGUUUCAUAAUCCAUCUAAAGAUGAAAUUGAAGUAGUAGAAAUUCUACUCGAUCUCGAAAAUCUAGUGAGAGAAAGACAAUAUUGUUCGGUAAUUUGGGGUUCUAAAAAAAGGAGAUCUAAUCGACGCAUCGAUUCUUCUUCUUCUCCCGUCGUCAACUCAUCAAAUUCUAUUCAAGGAAGUUCGAAAAUCGAUGAAAACGAAAUUGAACCAAAAAUUAAAGCUGAAGUUACUAGCCCUGCUACUCCUCUUUCAUUUUCCCCAAGUGAAUCUGAUGAAAAAUCCAAACAUUCUUCUCGCAAAAGCUAUAAACGAAAGACGAGGGAGGAGUUAGUGGAUAAAAUAAAACAAUUAUCUCAGUGCAGAGAAUCGCUUACAGGGGAAGUGGAGAAUGUUCGUAAUUACUACAACAAACAAAAAGCUUAUAAUUUGAAGUUGAAAGCAAUGAAAGAAGAGGUAACAAGAAUGGUGAAUUUCCAAGGGGGUGGUGUUAAUUUAGGUCAACUUUACAGUAAUCCUGGAAUAGAGCCCAAUCGUCAACAGCCGUUCAUUAUGGAUCAGGUUGCUUCAAGAUCAGAAGCUUUCCAUAGAUUUCAGUACCCAUUGGGCCAGCUGCAACAGGCCCAACAUUUGUACUCAAAUGGGUUGGGCCCAGGCCCAAUGGGCCUUCCGGAUCUGAAUGUUACGGUGGACGAGGCUUUCACAUUGGACCCGUUCGAUAUCGAUAGAAUGAAUGUUGAAAGGAAGGCCCAAUAUGCUGAAGCUAGAAGGAAGAGGAGGAUUAAAAGAAUAGAAAUUAAGAAUUCAUCUGGUUUUAUUAGACCACCAAGGAGGAGAUAGUAGGUAUUUUUUGUAUUUUUGAUCCCUCCAUAGAAUGAUAGUAUUAUUUUUUUGAGCGAUACGGAAGGCCAAUCGAGCGAAGCUCUAUUUUUUUGCUUUCGUCAUGUCGCUAAGUGAAAUUGUAUCGUACAUUAGUUGAUGAGCUAUAAUGAUGUACGUAUACUUUUCAUUGAUCAUAUAAACAAAAUAUUC